rnacentral:rRNA from 1 species
GACAGAGGGUGCAAACGUUGUUCGGAUUUACUGGGCGUAAAGCGCGUGUAGGCGGCCUUGCAAGUCGGAUGUGAGAGCCCACGGCUCAACCGUGGAAGUGCAUCCGAAACUGCAUAGCUUGAGUCUCGGAGAGGAAGGUGGAAUGCUUGGUGUAGAGGUGAAAUUCGUAGAUAUCAAGCAGAACACCUGCGGCGAAGGCGGCCUUCUGGACGAUGACUGACGCUGAGACGCGAAAGCGUGGGGAGCAAACAGG